GAUGAACGCUGGCGGCGUGCCUAAUACAUGCAAGUCGAGCGAACCACUUCGGUGGUGAGCGGCGGACGGGUGAGUAACACGUAGGUGAUCUGCCCAUCAGACGGGGACAACGAUUGGAAACGAUCGCUAAUACCGGAUAGGACGAAAGUUUAAAGGUGCUUCUGGCACCGCUGAUGGAUGAGCCUGCGGCGCAUUAGCUAGUUGGUAGGGUAAAGGCCUACCAAGGCGACGAUGCGUAGCCGACCUGAGAGGGUGAACGGCCACACUGGGACUGAGACACGGCCCAGACUCCUACGGGAGGCAGCAGUAGGGAAUCUUCGGCAAUGGGCGAAAGCCUGAUCGAGCAACGCCGUGUGAAUGAUGAAGGCCUUCGGGUUGUAAAAUUCUGUUAUAAGGGAAGAACGACUUUAGUAGGAAAUGGCUAGAGUGUGACGGUACCUUAUGAGAAAGCCACGGCUAACUACGUGCCAGCAGCCGCCGUAA
rnacentral:rRNA from 1 species